UGGCUCUCGCAUCGAUGAAGAACGCAGCGAAAUGCGAUAAGUAAUGUGAAUUGCAGAAUUCAGUGAAUCAUCGAAUCUUUGAACGCACCUUGCGCUCCUUGGUAUUCCUUGGAGCAUGCCUGUUUGAGUAUCAUGAAAUCUUCAAAGUAAAUUGUUUUUGUUAAUUCAAUUGGGUUUCACUUUGGUAUUGGAGGUUCUUGCAGCUUCACACCUGCUCCUCUUUGUAAAUUAGCUGGAUCUCAGUGUUAUGCUUGGUUCCACUCGGCGUGAUAAAUUAUCUAUCGCUGAGGACACCCUGUAAAAAAAGGUGGCCAAGGUAAAUGCAGAUGAACCGCUUCCAAUAGUCCAUUCACUUGGACAAUAAUAAUUUUAUAUUAUGAUCUGAUCUCAAAUCAGGUAGGACUACCCGCUGA
rnacentral:misc_RNA from 1 species